GACGAACGCUGGCGGCGUGCUUAACACAUGCAAGUCGAGCGGUAAGGCCCUUUCGGGGGUACACGAGCGGCGAACGGGUGAGUAACACGUGGGUGACCUGCCCUCAGCUCUGGGAUAAGCCUGGGAAACCGGGUCUAAUACCGGAUAUGACUCCAUGACGCAUGUUGUGGGGUGGAAAGCCUUGUGCGGCUGAGGAUGGGCCCGCGGCCUAUCAGCUUGUUGGUGGGGUGAUGGCCUACCAAGGCGACGACGGGUAGCCGGCCUGAGAGGGCGACCGGCCACACUGGGACUGAGACACGGCCCAGGCUCCUACGGGAGGCAGCAGUGGGGAAUAUUGCGCAAUGGACGAAAGUCUGACGCAGCAACGCCGCGUGAGGGAUGACGGCCU
rnacentral:rRNA from 1 species